GGCGAGUGGGGGCGGAGCCAUGACUCACCCGGCCGGCGGCCCUGGCCCGGCUGCACAGAGUGCACGUGAGCGCGCGUCGCGCUCGUUUCUAAUUUUAGCUCCGGCGGCCCUGGUGGGGUCCGGCGAGAAAUACCACAUUGGCCUUGGUAAAUUGGAGAUUUUUCAGAUAUAAAUAUGGAAACUGCAAGAGUUUAGGGCAUUAUUCCUUAUUCGGUAUCCAUCUUAACAGUUUAAAAAGGACUAACAGUUUACAAUCCAACAACUGAAUACAUCCAGAGUUCUGUACCAAGAACUAUGUAGAAAAGAAAGGUAAAGGAAGAAAACAUGGUCCGUGUUCUUGAAGACUUUAUAAUCAAGUUGGGAAGAAAUAAUGUACACAUGUGAAACUACUAGAAAAUUUCUUCUGGUAACAUUUAUUUAGAUCUUUCACGAACGUCACUUCUUCAUUGUUUUCACCAGAGCCUGAGCUCCUCUAUGGCGUCACAGUGGACGCUGUCAGGUGAGAUGACCUUGAAGGUACAGGCAAUCCUGUGGCAAGGGGAUGAAGCCCAUCGGCCAUGGAGCCAGGACGCCUGGGCACAAAUCUCCAGCUUCCUGAGUGACAUCAACUUCCUCUACUCUUCUGCUCUGCCAUGCUUAGGAUGUGACUUCCAUCUUCCAGGUUGCCAUAUGGUCAUAACAUGCCACUGUGGCUCCAGACAUCACAUUCGCCUUCCAGACCAGAAAAAGGAGAAAGAUGUAGAUGAUGGCACCAUCGACUAAAGCCUGGAAUAUAGAAAGAGGAACGGCCUGGUGGAGGUAGCAGGGGAGGCUGAAGAUAAUCAGAGUCCAGGACGGGGCCCACGCAUGCCGGGGGCGGACACCCCACGUGGCACUCAGUCUCCCAGGCAGACGGGGAUGCCUCAGAUCGCGUUUCUUCUCGGCAGGAAUUUGGGCCAGAUCCCACAGGCACGCAGACUUGGAAAAAAGGGAAGGGCCACAGCGUGAGGACUGACGUCCGUGCACCAUCCAUCACCCAGGCGGCUGAGUCACCACCACGGUCUGGUGCGUCCAUGGAGUCACCUCCCUGUGGUCUGAGGCUCCCACUGGCCUUCCCUCUUUGGCAAGAGGCUGGUCCCAGUCUGUGUCUGUCGGCGAGCGUGGGUAACUGGGCACCCUGGUGUGCUGAGUCCUGCCGUGUGCACUUCUGGUGGCUAGCGGGGUAGAGAGGACAUUUCCUGAAGGAGGCACAGUCCUGCCUCCAGGGAGUGAGAGCUCGUGAGGCUGGGGAUGCAUUCCCUGUCCUUUCAGAGCACACGUGUAUUCACAGACAGUUUCUAGGGCCACCUAGCAACUGACUUACCAUACGACCUCAGCCAAGUCACCUGGCCGCUCUGAGCCUCAAUCUCCUUAUGUAAAAGAUGGGGAAACGGGUACUUUCUCACCAGGCUGAGAGGGGAGAGAAAUGAGACUGUGCCCAUAGGAGCUCCGCACCAGCCUAGUUUCCACAAAGCACUCGAUAAGCAUGCACUUCCGUGGCCGCUGACCGGCUAGCUGCUGGCCGCACACCUCAGGACCGCCCGGAAGGUGAGGCAGAGGGAGCGCUUCUAGUCCUUGAAAACACAUGCCAGCCCACCGUCGGGCAGCCAUGGGCGGCCCCGAUGGACGCAGCCACCUCCCUCCACCACCGCCAAGGAUUGGAAUAAGACGCUUCACUUGCCCAGACACAGAAGGGAACGGAACAAGAAAGUCAGUGGGUCAGCCAGAGGGGUUGGGUCGGCAAAGGUGUGGGAACAAAUCUGGAGAGAUGGUGCUUAGGCCACCCAGACCCGCUGCGGUCUUUGAGGAAGGCCCUCGCCCUAAGGCUGUGUUGGCCAGGCACCUUCUGAUGACGGCCUGGCUUUCUGGAUAGAAUUUCCCACCAGAGAAAGGCUGUCAAUGGGAGAACAUGCCUCUCAGGCCCGCUGGAUGGCUGCUUCCCACCGGGGCUGGCUGAGUCAGAUUGGAGGUAUUUAUGCUCGUGUUGGGUGCAGGUAAGUCCUGAGCCCAGCCGUCUCGGAGCGUCUAACCAACACAGGUUUCUAGCUUACAAAGUGGAAACUGGGCUCCGGGAAUGGGAUGACCACAGAAAGGAAGUACCCCCCAAAAGGAGUCCAGCCUUCCCCUAAGGGAGCCCCAUAAGACACCCACUGUACAGACUCAUCUGACAGCUCCCCCUCCUUGGCAUGUUCCACGCUGACCUCUGCCAGCUGCCAUAGCCAGGCCAGCUGACAGCUGCCUCCCCCGGGCUGGCCCUACGCAAUGCUUCUCAGACUGAGAAUCGAGACCCAUAAGUGAGUCAUGGAAUUAAUUGAGUGGGUGGGAUGAGCAUUCUUCAUAAUUAGCCUGAACAGGGUCACGUAUAUCAGAGUGCCUCGUGGGGGGUAAGCGUGAGCGUUAUUUCAUGAGCCUCGUGUGUGUGUGUGUGUGUGUGUGUGUGUGUGAGAACACGUACUAUAUGGAUACCGCAAUAGAAAGAUAGCACAUUCUGAUUGGGCCGUUUGGGGGCAUUUAAUAAAGGAACUAUUUACAAAGACGUGGGCAGGGUGUAGGGAAGUCACAAGAGAAUUGUGAGGCUUAGUUACCACCCUCAGGCUUAAGGCUUGAAGGUGGAAGGUGUUUCCAGAACUUGGAAACAGAGAGAGCGAUGAGGCGAAGGCUCAGACAGGACCUGUGAUCAUCAGCCCGAUGGGGAGUGAAUGCUUACCCUCACUCCUCUCCCUCCCUCCCGGCUCCUGCUGGGCUGCCCACUAAUUGAGCCCAGGCAAGCCUGAGGGCCAGCAGCCACGGACCCAGUCCCUGUGUGGAAAAGGCCAGUACAUAACGUGUACGUGGGAUGCAAUGUAAAAUGGUACCGCACCUCUUACUGUGAGUCUCAGUUAAUGAAGUUUUAAGCACCCUGGAACCAUGUGCCUGACGCCGAAAUUACUGCCAGCAAGAGGCAAAAAGUUUCUGAAUGGCCCCAGAUCAGGGCUUUGGAUGGCAGCUAAGACCAGUGAGGACAGGGCUGUCCUGUUCUCAGCAGGUGGGAGUGCACCCAUCCUCCAGAUGUGCCAGGAUGGAGAUGCCCGACAGUGGGGCUGAGCAGAGCCAGCGUCACAGGCUGGGGCUGAGGUCACAGAGGAAGAAGGGCAGGAGAGGGGAACGGGUGGGAGAGAGGAACAAAGGGGCCUGUGGUCAGGACACCCACGCCAGGCAGUUGCUUCAGCUCCCCAAGGACAAAGGGCAGGGUUCUAUUUCUAGCUCCCGUGGGAGCAGGAGACAACAACCUUCUUGCUUUUCACACACUUGAGGGCGGCUCACUAAUCCUCGUGUGGUUGUUCUGGACUCACACAAAACCGUCUCUGAGCCUCGUUUCCACGGCCCACACCACUGCCGAGUCCAUCACGGCAGGGUCACAUGCAGGCGACUUCACGCCUUCCUCGCCAAGUAUGACCGGGCUCCGAGGCCGAGUCUCCUGAACCCCAGAACAUUCCCCCACGAGCCCACUCGACACCCACCUUCAAGUGCCCAGUUCCCAGAAGAGAGACUCUUCCGGAAAGGAAAUGGUUUCCUCUAAGGACUAAAAAAAAAUGACAACAGUGUUCACGACAGCUCGGAGCUCUCAUUUUACCCUUGCUGUUUCCUUGGACAAUAGAAAGCAACUCUGCCUUCACAGACCUGGUUUCCUCCUGGCUUACUCAUCAACACAUAAGGCUGAGGUGUGUACGUGAGAGUUCAUGAAGUGCAGGGCAUUUUGCCCUUUGAACGUUCCUCCUCCUUCAGAAUUUCUUCAUUUCUUUCUGCCAUGUUCCUGGUACUGGCAGGGAUGGGCCAGAGUCUCGAGAACACGGUGAAGGUGUUUCCUGCCCAAGCCAGCAGGACCUUGGGCCAGACCCUGGUGUUAGAUCCUGAAGACACCCCAAGGAAAUGGCUCACCAAUGUCAUCAUUUAUUUUUUUUAUUUUUAUUUUUUUUGCGGUAUGCGCGCCUCUCACUGUUGUGGCCUCUCCCGUUGCGAGCACAGGCUCCGGACAUGCAGGCUCAGUGGCCAUGGCUCACGGGCCCAGCCGCUCCGUGGCAUGUGGGAUCUUCCCGGACUGGGACAUGAACCCGCGUCCUCUGCAUCAGCAGGCGGACUCUCAACCACUGCGCCACCAGGGAAGCCCAGUGUCAUCAUUUUUAAGUCAACCAAACAGAAAGUGGUUGCUUGACUACUUCAUCAGUCUUAACCGAGUCAUUAUUAAACUAUAAGUUACAGGAAAAGGAGAGAGAAAGUCCAAGGGGAUCAGGGUCUUGCCAGUGUGAUGCUUACAAUUUGGACCGUGACUUGUGGAAACGGGCGUGCGAGUGGCGAUGCCUGGCUAGCAUCCCUUCACUGCUUCUCUUUAUUCUUCACAGCUCUGCCAUGAUCCACGAGGCGCUAACGCCCCCUCUACCUCUUGCACUUUCAGCCACACACGGUCAGUGGUUGACUCGACUCUCUCCUUCCGUAACUUGAGAGCACUCUCAGAGGGCGGGAGCUCUGUCUUAUUCACCUCAUGCUAUCCCCAUGGUCUGCACCAGUGCCUGGGCUGUCAAAACGCUCCAUGAAGUAUGUCUGGGGUGAAAAACUAAGUUUUUCAAUGUGGAAAAAAAAAAGAUAAAGAGCUAGCCGUGGCUUUCCAAACUUUUUUUUUUUUGGCAGUGAAAACUUUGAUUCCAAAAGAAUCUAACCUAAGCUCCAAAAUAAAUAAAAGCAAAGCAGGACACCCAAGUAAAUUUGCCAGGUUUAGCAAAUAGAAAUGCCAGAUAAUACAGUUAAGAUUGAAUUUCAGAAAAAUAAAUAAUUUCAAAAGGAUAAGUAUAUCCCAAAUAUUGCAUGGGACAUACUUAUACCAAAGAAAAAUUUUUUCAUUUGUUGUUUGUCUGAUGUUCAAAUUUAACUGAGUAUCCUCAUUGUAACUGGUGGCCCUCUACCCAGACCCCUGCACGCAUGGGACCCCCAGGGUGCCCUGGGGUUGUACAGUCUGGUUUGUGAACCACUAUUUGAAGAAACAUUGUGACUCUCCCACACUGCUGUCCUUCUCCCGUCUCUGGAGCUGCUCUCCCUCUGCGUGCAGCCCAGGUGUCUCUGUGGCCCUGGGCUGUGAGGAAAGGCUGCUGCUAAAAUCGGGCUCAGUUUCCUGAAGCAUCAGAGUGCUAAGUGUCAGAAUGGCUGGAGAGGCAGCCAACAUUCAUGACAAAUAGCUAUGCCAGUUCACACAACCACUUCAAGCCCAACAUAGAUUUCUUCACUCUUUGUUUUCACCAAAGUCCUGACGUUCCCUGAGAGACUGCUGGCUCUUCCGAGAAGGUGUGAUGGAGCUGGGGCUGUCCUGCUUCCUCCUCCUUGCUCCCCGGCCCUGUCCUUCUGGGGUGAACAGAGGGGCCACCACAUCCAAACCAGUCACCCUGGUUCUGCUGGGUGGAUACUGGUGGCCUCUGGCACCAAAGCACAGGUGAGUGGGGAGAUGUCUCACCUCCCUCUCUUCCGUGCCCCCCUCCUAAGAAAAGCAGUGAAGGGGCUCCUGGGAGCAUCACAUGAACUCCUGAAUGCCUUCCAGAACGAGCUCGCUCUGGAGAGGGAGAAGGGGAAUCUCAGCGGAUGAUGUCUGCUGAUUUUUGCCUGACCACCUUGCACGCCCUUCCCAGAUGGUUUGUCCACCAGUGUGUGGUCUUGGUGGGGGGCAGACAGUCCUCUAGGCCCAGGUGUGACUCAGGCUCGGCCCAUGGGAUGCUCCGCCUUGGGGCUUUGACCCUCGGGGGAGAAGAGGGCAGUCAGAGAUGACUCUAAAGGACGUCACCGGAUGUCCCUCUGCAGCUCUCGGGUCCCGUGCUUCCCAAACCUGCAGUGCUUUCUGAAAGUAGAGACACGGGCACCACUUUUCCUUCCAGGUAAAUAUCAUAUAGGAUCAUAGUCCCACCAUGGUAUGUGCAGAAGGGAUAAGUAUCACUUCUGGGUGGAAAUGGUGUUAAAAUUCAGUGCAUAAUUCACCACGAUUUUCCCCCCUCUGUCACAGAAGCCAGCAACUCUCCAGAUGGUAGCCACUCCGUCAGCCUGGGUCCUGGAAUGAGGACAACUCAGACAGUCCCAAACCAACUCAAGGUGACCUUUUGGAGUAAACAAGAAAGAAACCGUUUGUUGUGUCAAGUCACUGAGAGGUUGGGGUUGUUUGUUAUUAUGGCAUAACCUCUCCGAUCCUGACAGACACCCAGGCACCGUCCGGGACCUCCUGAGUCUCGAUCAGCAUGGGAGCUCUAGCUGAGCCACUUUCUCAAGUCCCACAGUCGUGAUUGUGGAGAUCAGCGAGGUUUGUGAACCCGCACUUCACUCCACACUGAUCCUGAGGCACAGCUGAACUGUAGUGGGUUGAAUGGUGGCCCCCCCAAAACAUAUCCACAUCCUAGUCCCUGGAACCUGUGAAUGGUACAUUAUUUCAAAAACGGGGCUUCGUAGACGUGAUAAAGAAUCUUGAAAGAGGAGAUCAUCCUGGAUUAUCCAAUAAGUACAAUGACAAGUGUCCUUAUGGGGGAGGCAGAGGGAGAUUUAAGACAGACACAGAGGAGAAGGCCCUAUGAGACAGGCAGAGAUUGGAGGGACGUAGCCGCAGCCAAGGAAUACCGACCACCACCAGCAGCUGGACAGGCAAGGAAUGAAUUCUCCCCUAGAACCCCAGAGAGGGUGUAGCCCUGAUGUCACCUUGAUUUCCAGAACUGUGAGAGAAUACAUUUUUGUUGUUUCAAGCCACCGAGUCUGUGGUACUUUGCUUCAGCUGCCAGUGGACGGACAGCGUCCACUAAUCCUCAGGGACCUCCCAGUCUCACAAGGGAAAUUGGGGCUGCACCAGAGAGAGCUGGGCAGCAGGGGCAAGGCAGCCAGAGCUGGGCUGACUGCUUGGGAAAUGAACUCUGGUGGAGGAGAAGUUUGAGCAGAGGUCUGGGGGGAUGUGCACUGGAGCUUAGUAGAGAAGGAGCGGGAGGGUGUUUCAGAAAGGGACAGGUAGGUGUGGACACCAGGAUGGGGGCCAGGCAGGUAUUCCAGCCACAGAAGAGCAGCAGAAUCUGUGCUGGGGAUGAAUGAAUGGAACAGGAGGGCUGGCAAACUUGGUCUUGAAACCCAAGCUGGCCUUCCUUCAUAUCAAUCUUUAUAAAGCCAGAAUGGUAAUUUGAAAAAUUGUGCUUUCAAAAUAAGCCAAAAUAGUUAAAUUCAAAAUUGUAUCUAUGCCCUGACCACUACACAUAUAUAUAUGUGUGUAUAUAGAUAUACACACAUAUAUAUACAUAUAUAUGUGCAUAUAUACAUACAGACAGACCAAAACAUAAGAAAAUCAUGGGAUAGACUUAGGAAUUUUUUUCCUUCAUUUUUUAACUUGUUACUGAAGUUGCAACACUUUAAUAAACAAAAGAAUCCCAAAAUAAGAAGUUCUGGGUUAAUAUGAAAUUAAUAAUGAACUACUGAGCGUUCUCGAGGAAGGGUGGGGUGGGUGAUCAAAAUAAUGGUUAAGGAAGGUAGUCGGGUCAGUCCUGUGCAUAAAGGAGAGGAGACGGAGCGGCAGAGGCCAGGAGACCUACAAAGGGGCCGUGCAACAUUCCAGGAGUGAGGUGUAGCGAGGCCCAACUAGGGAUGUGUGUGAGGACGGAGCAGUGUCGGAGCAGCGCUCACAGCCUCCGGUAGCUGCCAGGCCAGACGCUCGCUACACUCGACUGCCCUCUAGUGGCCAAAUCCGGGAAGCCAGCCACGCCUUUCAAAGCUACCUCCUAGGGAUAGAGCAUUGCGGGAACCUGAAGAAGGAGCUCCGGGCUUUCUGGUGUCAGAGAAGGCUUCCCAGAGGACACGAUGCUUCCUUCCACUGAGCAUGGGCUCUUCGUUGCCAUAUGGCGUCUCUGGGGGUUUCACACUAGCCACCCCUUAUACCCCACAUAAUAGGAGCUGCUCUCUGCUUUAUACUGCCCGUCGCUGGCUGGAGUUGGAGCCUAAUUUGUGUGGCCAGAUGAGGAAAUCAAGGCCCAGAGAGGCAGAGGGACUCACCCACAGUCACACAGCUGAGGUGACAGAACCAGAACUGGGAGGCUGGCUCCUGAGUCUAUGCUCUUAACCACUUGCCAUUUGACCCUCUUUGUGCUGGUUGCACAGCGAUGCCCAGAACCACAUUGAGGAGUGUUUUGCCUUUAACCAUCUUCUAUCCUGUUCACCACCCUUGUUCAACCUGUUUCCCACUCCCUGAAGGGUAUUUAAUGGCUAAAUGAAUCCCAAUCAAAUAUUAACUAGAAGAGAGGCACCUGAGCCUUCUCCCCCGGAACCUUCCCUUUCUGCUCAGAGUCCCAGUGUUUGUCACAGCAUCUGUGUUUGCAGAAGGUUCAUGGGUGCAGACAUCCCUGCAGGACGGAUGGGAGGGCACAGCCUCUGGUCUGGGGAAAUUUAUGUCUAAAGGGAGCCGAGAUGGAUGAACUAUUCCGUUUGCUCCUUUUGCUCUCUAUCAAGCACAGUCAGCUAGUGUUUUUUAAACUGUGAGUCGCCACACAUCAGUGAAUCAUGACAACCUUUUAGUGCGUCUCAAAUCACAUUUUAUUUACAAGAAACUAAUUAAAAUUUAAAAUGUAGUGUGCAUUUUAUGUAGCAUGGUUAAGAAUUGUUUUAGGGGGCUUCCCUGGUGGCACAGUGGUUGAGAGUCCGCCUGCCGAUGCAGGGGACACGGGUUCGUGCCCCGGUCCAGAAAGAUCCCACAUGCCGCGGAGCGGCUAGGACGUGAGCCAUGGCCGCUGAGCCUGCGCGUCCGGAGCCUGUGCUCCGCAACGGGAGAGGCCACAGCGGUGAGAGGCCCGUGUACCGCAAAAAAAAAAGAAGAAUUGUUUUAGGAAAUUUUGUUUUAGCUGUGUGCACCUGCAUGUGUGUGUGUGCACAUGCACACUUGGCUACGAUAUAAAAUAUAUUUCUUACUGUGAGUCCAGUCAAAAAAGUUAGAGAGUCACAUAGCUAAAUGUUUUUCUCCUCUGCUUUCACAAUACUUGUUUACAGGAGCUUUACAACCCAUGUUUUUUUUUUUUGCUCGAGUUAAUCUGAAAGUGAGUUUCUAUCAGCCAGUCUACACUGGCCAUGAUGGAACAGAGGAGGGGUGAGGGGUGCUAAGACAGCACACGGAGGGAAGCUGUUGGCCACAGAGCCGGGGUUCCACUCCUCGGCCACCAAAUGCACCACCCAGAUGAUGACCCAGCGCGUCACCUGCUUAACUGAAGUCACCUGUGCUUCAUUAAAACCUUGAGGCCUGUGAGCAAGUUAAAUUGUUUGAAUUAACACAGCUUGUUGGAGCCAAACUUAAGCUAUAUUUUCAUAGGGCAUAUUUGUCGUUAAAAUCCUACUGUAAUAUUUAUAUUCAAAAAAUCCAGUUAAUGAAUUUGUCAUUUAUUCUUCCCUGCUUCGAAUCAACCAGUCCUGGCAUAUUUAUAGGACUUCCUCCUCGCAUCCCAGGCACAGACCCUCGGCUGUGUGGUGUGCACGGGAGGCUGGUCUGGCCAGCCCCGGGCAUCACAGGCCUGCUUUGGCAGCCUCGCGGAGGCCCCUCCUCCCGCCCCGCCCCUGCCCGGCUCCACUCUGAGGCCCUGAAGCUGGCUCUUUAUUCAGGGAAGACAGCCUUCCACUGUAGGGCAGCCCAGACCCUGGGGUCCCUGGGAUCCCCCGUGCUGAAGCCAGAGAAAUGCCCCCACAUCUGUAACACAUUCAUCUUUCCUCAGCAAGCCUGACACUGCUGACCCACCUUCUGGGCACGGUGGAUCAUUUUAGAAGUUAGAACAUGAAAUCAGACAGCCUGGAUUCUCAUCUCAGAUCUUCUGCUGAUAAGAUAAUGCCUUUGGGCACGUUGUGUAACCAAACCAAGGUUCAGCCGCCUCACCUGUGAGAUGGAGGCUGCUAGUAGCACCUAUUU